GUGAAUAAAACCGAAACCGACCUAGAAAGAAAAUAAAAAGCCUUUUAGGGAAUCAAUCUUGUCUCAAAUUUACUCUCAUCGCCAAACCAUGAUAGGCAGGAAAAUCCCAGGCGCCGGAGACAGCAAAUCUGCUAAGGCGGAGGAGAGCGAUAGCGAGGAGAUCGAGGAUAUUUUUGAAGAACUCAAAAUAUGGGCAUCGAACACGAGGAGUGCAAAGAGAGCAAGGAGAGCAAAAAGAGCAAGAAGAGCACGACGCGGCCGGAGAUAUGCUAGCAAGGUCAAGUUCUGGAAAGUAAACGCACCUUCUAUAAUUCUACCCGUGGCAAUAAAACCAGAGACCGUCACUAUUCCUGGCAAAAAUGGUGCUGAUCCUGUUACAAUCUCCGUGUUCGAUUGUAAGUAAGCUCUUGAUUUUUGUUUUAAGGUCUGAGAGUAUCCUUCAGCUCUGUGUUUUAAAGAACAUGAAUGUUUGUGUCAUUUUAAUUUUUUGUUUGUUUGUUAAUGAGACAAAAUACUGUGUGAUCAAUUUGGUCAUUGAAGAAAACUUCACUAGCCAGGUCUUAAUGGUUUUUGCAUUAGGUAUAGCCGAAGCAGAAUGAUACUUGUCGUUUUGCAAUAUAACUUCUCCAGUCAAAUCAUUUUGCUCUAUCUGAUCUAUGCCUGAUCCGUAGCACGCAGUUAAGAUAGAGCAAAUAUCUGCUGAUGGGAUCAUAGAUUUUGUUGCAUCAGCAGUAUGUUUAUAGCAUUUUUAAUCGUAGAUUCAUUCUUGCUUUUCUUAUGAUAUUAUCGAUAUGUUUUCUAGUACCUUAUGUCAUGUAGUCAGCCCUGAACUCCUUAUCUUUUGGCAAUGACAAUGUAUUAUAUAUGUAUAUGUAUAUGAUGGUAUUUCAUGUAACAAUACCCGUGAAUGGGUAGCAGUGAAAGAUGAAAGAGCACGUGUGUGUGUCAUGCGCCCCUAUGGGACCCACAGACCCUUGGUAUUGUUAGAGGAUCCAUCUAUAGUCUCCCGUGCAUGCAGAGAGAGCCAUAUGUUUUCAAUUAAUCACUAGAUCUCUUUUUUUAGUUUCCAAAUGAGACUGCCAUUUGUACUUGUGAAGCAUGUGUGAAAGGGCUUGUUUUGUUGUUGUUAUUGUUGUUUUGACAGUGUAUGUGUGAAACAGGUUCAGUCCAUAUAAGCCAAAGAUCCGCAGAGGCCCCUGGCCCGAAAUACCCCUUUCUCAUGAUGUGAAUGGUAUUGAUUCCGUGUUGAAGUUCAUUCUUGGAGGUUGUGAUCCAAGUGGUAGCAAGGUCACCGAGGUGAGGAAAGCAGAGCGUUCACCUGCUGGGCCUUCACAUGGUAGCAAGGUCAUGGCCGGGAAAGCGAAAUGUGCACCUGCUGGGCCUUCACUUGAUUCGGACAGUCCCCUCCUAAGGGCUUAAGAUAUGCAUGUGAAGUAGUGGUUUGUGGUUUCUGAUGAUGUUAAUGUUGCUGCGGCUGUGUGUUUUGAGGUGAAGCGUUGCUCUGUUUACAUUUCCCAGUCUGAGAAAGUUCUCUGGACGGAUAUAUGUAUUUCUGGUUAAUGUAAUAUAUAGGGGGUGAAACUGUCAUCCCAACAACUGCUGGGCCUGCUGGGCCUUCACUUGAUUCGGACAGUCCCCUCCUAAGGGCUUAAGAUAUGCAUGUGAAGUAGUGGUUUGUGGUUUCUGAUGAUGUUAAUGUUGCUGCGGCUGUGUGUUUUGAGGUGAAGCGUUGCUCUGUUUACAUUUCCCAGUCUGAGAAAGUUCUCUGGACGGAUAUAUGUAUUUCUGGUUAAUGUAAUAUAUAGGGGGUGAAACUGUCAUCCCAACAACUGCUGGGCCUGCUGGGCCUUCACUUGAUUCGGACAGUCCCCUCCUAAGGGCUUAAGAUAUGCAUGUGAAGUAGUGGUUUGUGGUUUCUGAUGAUGUUAAUGUUGCUGCGGCUGUGUGUUUUGAGGUGAAGCGUUGCUCUGUUUACAUUUCCCAGUCUGAGAAAGUUCUCUGGACGGAUAUAUGUAUUUCUGGUUAAUGUAAUAUAUAGGGGGUGAAACUGUCAUCCCAACAACACCCACCCCCCCCCCCCCCCCCCCCCCCCCCCGACUAGUACAUCCCUUCUUUUACAAGCCAGACUACCUUCCAUUCCUUGAUAUAUAUGUGUGUGUAUAUUUAAUGCUUAAUUUAUCUUCUGGUUGUACUCUUUAUCUCCA